UACGUAGGUGACCAGCGUUGUCCGGAUUUACUGGGCGUAAAGAGCGCGCAGGCGGUCGUUCAAGUCGAGUGUGAAAGCCCCCGGCUCAACUGGGGAGGGUCAUUCGAUACUGAUCGACUGGAAGGCAGGAGAGGGAAGCGGAAUUCCAGGUGUAGCGGUGAAAUGCGUAGAUAUCUGGAGGAACACCGGUGGCGAAGGCGGCAUCCUGGACCAACACUGACGCUGAGUGAGCGAAAGCCAGGGGAGCAAACGGG
rnacentral:rRNA from 1 species